UAAGAGAUGAAAGUGUAUGGAUUGGUGAGAUGUAGUAUGGCUAGAUGAAUGGAUGGAAUGGAUUUGCACGGCUAAGAGAUGAAAGUAUAUGGAUUGGUGAGAUGUGGUAUGGCUAGAUGAAUGGAUGGAGGUCACUACAAGGAAAUUGUGUUUUUGAAUGAAGCUCUUUUGAUGGAUCAAGAUUGUCCUUAGGAAGGGGAAUGGUGGAUGUAUUAUAGGCUAAGGAGUGGACAACUUCAAUUCCUUGCAUGUGCAGUUUGUAUGGGUGUAUGAUGUCCAUGUUUCCCUUUACAUUUGCACACAUAUGACCUCCAUCAUUUCAGCCACAAAUCAACCCAUUUUAUGCUCAUGUGUGUGUGUGUUUCUUUUGCCCAUGUGUGUGUGUUUUUCCUUUGCAUUUGCACACACAUGUUCUUCAUUAUUUCAGCCAACAAUCCACCCAUUUUCUGCCCAUGCCAAACUGUCCAUGCAGUGCCUUUCUCUUUGUGUGUGUGUUGUCCAUGUUUCUUCCAUGCGCCUUGUUUAUCUUCUAGCUGUGCAUUUCCACUUGCUCCAAUGCCAAAUGAGUGCAAUCAUAACCCCAUUUUCUGCUGAGUGUUGAUGACAAAGCAAAACACAAAACAAAUGCCUUUACUUUCUCAUUUUAUUAGCCAAAUCUGCUUAGCCCUUUUCUGAACCAUUCAGUGUUACAAUGCCCAUAACUUCUUCUAGAAAAAUGAUAUUAACAAUCCGUAAAUUGUUCCAGAAAAUAGACAUCCGUAGCUUUCCAAGCAUAUAAGACUCAUUCUCUCAUUAAUUCUGAGCUGUUUGUAACAUGCUUCCAAAGUCAGCUAAUCUGCACAGGCAGUUUUGACGAAUUUGUUACUUAAUAACUCACUUGUGCUACUUUUCUUUUCUUUGCUUGAUAAAUCACACAAAACAAAAAAACAUAGUAAAUAGCUCAAAAAUAUAAGGAACUAACUAAGAAAAGACAAGUGAAUUUUAUGUAAAAUAUAUAUAAAUACGAGCUUAUCACUUUGUUCUUGAGUUGAGUCUUGGUUCACCAUAACUACUAGGCUUUGAAUUUCAUGGGUUAAAUUUUGUUUUUGAGUGCAUACAAGCAUGAUUCCGCCUUUUAAUUGUUAAUAGCAUGCAUAGAUGUUGCUCAAAUGAACUUGUUUUCACAAAUUUUUCCUUCAAUUGGUAUCAGAGCCUAGGUCUAGUAGUUGGUGAAUCCUUUUGGUUUUUUGUUGUUCAUAGUCUUUGAUUUAAAUGUUGUAAUUGUUACAAGCUUUAAUCUUGCUUCUUUGAAUGUAAAUUUUGCUGGAAAAUUUGCCAUUUCAAAUGUUGUAGAUGUAGUUCAUAUGAGCAUGACUUUUGGAGCUAAAAUUUGGUGCCUUUUGUUUGGGAAAUUCGGCCAAAUGCAAAGGGUGGAUUUUUGGGUUCAUGUUUGUCUUGUUAGAAGUGUUUUAAAGUGACAUUAGGAACCCCUAAGUACCAUAGUAUGGUAAUAUGUUAUUUCCCUUAAGUUUGAGAGUUUUUGGGGUGUCUUUGGGUGAAAAAUGUUCAUGGAGCUCUUAUGGGUUUUCAUGGAUGUUCUUCAUUGUUCUUGUUAUUUUCUUGCCAAGAACAAAAAGUUUGUAGUUUUGAUUCAAUAAGGUGUUUGGUUGUUUAUUUGUUUUUGUUAGUAAUGGAUGGUAUGAAUUUUUCAAACUUCACCCAUACCUUUUCAACUAUUCAUACCAUACCAUUCACUUACAACUUUCAAUCAAUUUUCAAACCUACAAAUCAACACACACAUCACUCAUCAUGACUGGCCACCCUAUUAAAGUAGGGUACUUUUGGGGCUUUUAUACAAUUACAUAAAGUUUUGAUAAUUUUGUGUAUUUGUACUUUACCCGAAAAUUUACGUUUUUACAUAAAAGUCCAAAAUCACUAAAGGACAAAUUGUUUUGCUCCUUUAAUGAAGUUUUUGUAUUUGUUGAAAUUUUUGGAUUCUAGUUGUAAUUACAUGAAGUAGUAGACUUUUGUGUUUUUACAAAGUGACCUCAAAAGUUUGUGUUUUGAAAUAUAGCCCAAUGGAAGGUUAUUGUUUUUGGCCCAAAUUCGUUGAGAACAAAAUGGUUUUGUCUCUUUAAAUGAGAAUUAGAUUUUCAUUUCAUUUAGCUCCAUUUAAAUCAAUUUUAUGGAUAGAAAAACCAAAUGACAAUGUUGCAUUCAAGUUUAAUUAGUUAAAGCGUUAAUUAAUUAAAGGGUGAUUAUGAACCUAAGCCUACAAUAAUUGAGCUAUGUGAAAGACUGUCUCUCAAAUUUGUUUGAACCAUGGGAAUGUGUAGAUUAGAUUUUGGUUGUAAUUUGAUAUGAUCAAAUGUUGUAAAAGAGCAUAAGCUCUUCUUUACUUUGAAGUACUCCUUUCUUGUUUUAUUUGAUAUGCAUGAAAUUGGAGUAGUAGGGUCCAAGACCCAAUAAGAAAAAUUCGCCUUAAUGUGAUUAAAUGCAUAACUAAAACCAAUCACAUCCCUAGACCGAGAUCCAAUACUAGGCUUGUGUUGGAUCGAAUCAAAGGUUCAUAGACAUCCUAAGGCCCUAAGGCAACUAUAUAGUCCAUUAAUGAAUGCAAAGCUUAUGUUAGUAGUACCAUAUAUUCUUGCUUUAAAAACCGUUUUACAAGCAUAGUGAGAGCAUCAUGUACUACUAAAUCAAUCACAUGGACCAAUAGUUGUAAUAGGACCAAAUUGUUUUAAUAAGAUUAAAAUGUAUGCUAAUAUGUGAUGAGACCUAAAAACCCUCAACUAAACAAUUAUUAAGGUUGACAAGCGUGAGAGUGCUUUGAACACUUUUUCGUGGCCUUCCAACGUGGUAGGCUCCGAUCGUUUGUGACUCGUACAUCGACUUCACCCUAUCAUGGGGGAGUACAAAGUGCGUGCUUACACUCAGGAGGAGUCCUAUACAGAUACAUGAUGUUGUGAAGGUAGGCAAUGAGAAUGAUCAACAUCAUAUCAUUGUGAGGUUGUUUUUGAACCCCUACCCGAACUUGCAUGGUGGGAAUGACUUAACUAAGUGCAAUGGAGCCAACAUAAUAUCAUUGUGAGGCUUUAUUCUUUAGAGGCCAAAUAAGAUGGGUACUUACAUGAGAUGUAAAUGAGUAAGUGGUGCGAAAAUUAACUUAACACACAAAUUUAACCCUCUUUUGACAAUUGUAGUAUAAGUACAAGUAGGGAUCGUUCUGGACCGGGCUUGCUAAUAACCUCUAAACUGACUCAAAAAACAUAAAACUAAACUUAAAUACAUUUAACAAGACUCAUAAGACUCAAAGCAAACUUAAAAUACUCAAAAUAGCUUAAAACAACCAAAUAAACUUAAACUAGACACUAGGAAUGACUUUGGAUGAAAAUUGACUUUUACUUGAAUCAAAACACGUAAAAACACAAACUAAAACAGAUUUGAAACACUUUGAAACAAGGAACUAAAAGGGGGGGUUUUGAUUUGGAUGAAGUUGAAACAAUCAAACAAGUAUGAAAAACUAGACAGAUUGUAAAACAAAUUUGAGAAAUAAGAUGAUGGAUGAGAUAGCUAGAGGAUUUUUCUCCACAUAUGACAUGUAUGCAAACAACUCGAUUUCCAGUUACUACUUCAUUGAAUUGUAAACGACAAUGCCCCAAAUUAACCGUGACAUCACUAGUUAACCCUUAGAUUUUCCUUGUAUUAUUGGAUUGGAUGACAUCAUUCGACAAUGAUAGGAGCAUAUUUAUGCGCCUUAGUUAGCUAGUUCUUAUGCAUCUUUGUUAUGUUUUCUUCGUUAAAGUA
rnacentral:lncRNA from 1 species